rnacentral:tRNA from 1 species
UUUUGAGGUCUUUAAAACAGUGGAUUAAUCGGACGAGGACAAAGAGAGAGUCCCAUUCUACAUGUCAAUACUGACAACAAUGAAAUUUCUAGUAAAAGGAAAUCCGUCGACUUUAUAAGUCGUGAGGGUCAAGUCCUCUAUCCCA